UGGGGAGGGAGAGGGUGUGAGCGAGUGGCUGCAUGGUGCUUAAUUGCCAGCUGGACUAAAACCAGGAGAACAGCGUAUGUUUCAUUUCUAGGACUCCUCUGCAUCUUGCUUGCAUAAAUGGCCAUGCAGAUGUUGUUCAGUUUCUGGUAGAAAAGAAGUGCAAGCUAAAUCCUUGUGACAAAUUGAAUAAAUCACCACUAAUGAAGGCAGUAGAGCACCAGCACAAGGACUGUGCAGCUAUUCUGCUGGAACAUGGUGCCAACCACGACCACAGAGAUGUAAAUGGUAACACCGCCCUUCACUUUGCUGUCAUGGUUUCUAGCAAAUCUCUCGUGGAGCUGUUACUUGAGCACGGUACAGAUAUCAAUGCUAAGAAUAAAUUUGGAUACACUCCGCUUACUCUUGCAGUCACUGAAAACUGUGAAGAAAUGGUCAAGUUCCUUCUUCAAAAGGGAGCUGAUGUGAAUGCUCAGGAUAAUAUUUAUAGGUAAAGGGUUUGCCAAAAGUGCAUGUGGGACUCCUUAGCGCUGUUCAAGUUGGAUUGA